UCUGAAUGGAAUACGAAAAAAGCUUUGCCAACGGGAGAAUAUUAACGAUGCCAAGUAACUAGUUAAAGAUUGAAGGCAAUUUGUAACUGACACAUAAAAGAAACGAAAAAAUGCUAAAGAAAAAAAAAACAACAAAAAAUCAAAUGUGUUGUAAGCGGAGAAAAUUGGAGUGAUCAAUGAAUGCAGCGGGCUAGAGAGUGAAAUGAUGUAAAGUAAUGUAAACAAGUUUAAAAAUAUUGGAUUGCAACAAUAACUGUUUGGAAGGAAUGUGAAAAAAGAGCAAAUGAGCACAAAUUGUGAUUUCAAGUAUUUAAAUUAGUACCAGAACCAUGCAUACCAAUUGGGAGAGUGUUUCAUUAUGGUUGCGAGAUACUUCUUACGCUUUUUUGCAGUUGACUAAUUAACUUUUUUCCCGUUUCUUCUUAAUUAUAUGCAUACAUACGUAUAUAAUCUUUCACAUAAAUAUAUAUAGUUCAUUCGAUAUGCAUUGUGAGCCAUACUUCGUGGUAUUGGCACAUUGAAAUGCGCAGAAGCCAUAAAGCAGGUUGUCAAACCAAGCCGUACCGUAGCGUUUAGCGGCGAGCUUUAGUAGGCUUGAGUGGAAAGAAAUGAUUGAUUUUUAAUUUGUAUACGAAAGUGAAGUGUUUUCUGUUUUUUGUUUGGUUUUUAAGGCCAAACUUAAAUAUGUGCCAUGAUGUAUUUUAAGAGUUAAAGCGUGAAAAGUGCGCAUGGUAGAAGAGAAUUAUGCCAAUAUCAGUAUAUAAAGUGAUUUAUAAAGUGACAAGUUUUUACUCAAUAUUUCCAUAAUACAUUGAGUCCAGGCUAAACUAUUUCUGUUAUUAAUUAUAACCGUUAAUUUCAACAUGCCGUGCUGCUUUUUUUAAGUUCUAAUGAACAACAUGUGAAGCGUAAAAAUGCUCAGCAAUCAACAAUAAAAACUAAAGUACAUAUAUGUACGACCAUUUUUCUACAUGGAUAUGCAUGUAUAUGUGAAUAUUUAAAUCAUAAAAUGUGUGAAUAGUCUGUCAAGAGCAACGGAAAAUUCGAAUAACAUCGGAAACUGCGCCAAACACGAGCCUAAACUGCCAUAAACAAGUACUGGUUUACUAACUUCGAAUAAUGCGUAGCAUGUGUUGUGCUGGGGAUCAGCUACCUGCUGGCACGCGCUUCAAGGAACAAUCCACUGUAAUGCCCCAGCGCUAUGAUGAACAGCUGGAACGUACUUUAUCCGCCAACCGGUUGACGACAAAAUCUCAUUCGCGCACGCAUUCGCAUUCGCAUUCACACCAACAUCGGCCACAGCCUCAACGCCAUCACCAUCAUCAUCAUAAACAUCAUUAUUACCAGCCCCACAGCCAGCGGCAAUUUUAUUAUCAUCAACACGGCUUGCAAUAUUCAUAUCAACAGUAUGGUGGCAAUGGUAAUGGUGGGAAGGCGACCAAACACUGCUGCAAACGGAAACUACUGCAUUUCUUUCGAAAAGCUAUUCCAAUUGCACUACGUUUUUGCAAUUUAUGCUAAUAUUUCCCAAGCCACACAUUAGCUGUGUACGUUUCUGGCACAUUACUGACAAGUAAUUCUGUCUACUUGCCCACCCCAUCCAUUACCCAAAAAUUGUAUUUAAACUCAAGCGUUAAACGAAUUUGUCACCAGUUCAAUUUUACUCUACUACAGUAAAACAACAAUCAACAACAAUCAAAAUGUUCAAAUAUUUCGCUCUCGUAGUCGUGGCCCUCUUCGCCUUCGCUGCUGCCGAACCCAAACCCGCUGUUGUCGCACCAUUGGCCUACUCUGCUCCAUUGGUUGCUUCGCCAUAUGCCGCCGCCUACACUUCCCCAUAUGUUGCUGCUCCUUAUGCCGCCUACGCUUCACCUUACGCUGCUUACUCCGCUUACCCAUACAGCGCCGCCUAUGUGCUCCGCAAGUAAAUGAAAGAUACAUACCAAACUGUAUAGCUGAUGAGGACAAAAAGUGCACGAACAUUUGGUUUUGAAACUUCCCGGAAAUUAUAAGAAAAAAUAAAACAAGAAUUAAU